rnacentral:rRNA from 1 species
CGAAGGUGGCGAAUGUUGCUCGGAUUCACUGGGCGUAAAGCGUCGGUAGGAGGUUGUCUAAGUCAGGUGUGAAAGCCCCGUGCUCAACAUGGGAAUUGCACUUGAAACUGGAUAACUCGAAGAUAUGAGAGGAUGGCGGAAUGACUGGUGUAGAGGUAAAAUUCAUAGAUAUCAGUCGGAACACCCAUGGCGAAGGCAGCUAUCUGGCAUAUUCUUGACUCUGAGCGACGACAGCGUGGGGAGCAAACAGGAUUAGAUACCCUGGUAGUCCACGCCGUAAACGAUGCAUGCUCGCCGUCGGGUUCGCUACAGAACUCGGUGGCUUAGCUAACGCGGUAAGCAUGCCGCCUGGGGAUUACGGCCGCAAGGUUA